UACAUGUGUACAGACGAGGCUAGCAGCAGCAGUGCUGCAUCAGACACGUUUCUGGUGUGGCAAGACAUGACAAAAUCCAUGCAGCCGCCACGCAACAGAAACGCCACGCUCCCGCCACGCAGCCAGUGUGAGGCCGGCCUAAGGGAAAGUGUGAUCACCAGAGUCAGGCCAGGAGGCAGCAGCUGGAGGGAGAUGAAGUGCUGUAGGAGUCAUCCAGCUGUAGCAGUACCUGGCGCGGGCAGCUCCAGCUUUGCCUUCCUGAGCUCCGUCAUGGACGCCUGGAGCUGCUCAAUCACAAAGUCGUCCUCGAAGAAGAAAUCUUUGGACAAAGUCACCUGCAGAAACUCCACCAGCUCCUCCAUGGACAGCUUCAUCAGGUGCUCUGUAAAUCACACACAACACUCGUAAGACUUUUUUAGUCUUUGAAAGGUGGACAUCCGUAGCACUGAAUAGAGUAAACGGCCUUACUCUUGUGCAGUUUGAGGAUUGUGUAGGACAUGGUGGGCAGCACUCGUUCUCCCUCCAAGAUGUAGAUGUCCCAGAUUCUGAGGGUCAGGGUAAAGGGAGUCUUGACACAAACAAAACAAAAGGUGUUGUUUCAGUUUGGGCAUCAUCUUCUUGAGGAUGCGGUCGUGGUGAUCCUGGAACCUUAUCAGCUUCGGGAAGCCGGGGAUAAAAAACCCUAAAAGGCUUUGACGCGAGCAUCGGGAAGGUGGUAAGUUAUGAGUCUGCCACGACCCGCCGGAUCUGUGGGAAACCAAUCUUAGACAACAACGCAGUCAACCUGUUCUCCUCCGUCAUCAUCGCACUCAUCCUGCCAGGGCUGGCAUGGGGGAUGUGGCCUCGAUAGACUGACAACUGUCAAUGCAGCACAGCCGGACGACUAAUAUUAGACGGACUGCUGAUUAUUUGAGUAAUAUGUUGGUUGUUGUUGAUUACAGAAGCAUCACACUAAAAGUUAAUACAACACGCACUCUGCGUGCAUUCUUGAGAGGCUCUGAUCAUGAUAUCUCUCUUUGGAAGAAAAAAGAACAGUAAUAAAUACUAACCGAUAAAAACUUAACAGUAACUGACGGACUGUGGAUAUCUACGCAGGUUUUAGGAGAACAUUUAUGGCCCGCAUGCAGAUAUGGAAUAGUAAUUAAAUGGGUUGUGUUUUUGUUCUGUAUUUUAAAUUUGAAGCUGUUUUUUCCCCGCUUAAUGUGAUGUUUCAGUAUUUAAGACUGAUUUCUGGUAUUGUUACAACCAUAAUUUAUGCAGUAUGUUUCCAAGUGAGUCUUCACAGUAUGAAUUUACAUGUCACUAAUUAAAAAUAUAUUUCCUGUUGUAUUGGCUGUAUACUUUUAAAUAAAAGGUGUUUUUUGUUUGUGUGUAAA